rnacentral:lncRNA from 1 species
GAGGGUCCCACGCCCACGGAGCCUUGCUCAUUGCUAGCACAGCAGUCUGAGAUUGAACUGCAAGGCAGCAGCGAGGCUGGGGGAGGGGCGCCCGCCAUUGCUGAGGCUUGAGUAGGUAAACAAAGCGGCCUAGAAGCUUGAACUGGCUGGAGCCCACCACAGCUCAGGGAGGCCUGCCUGCCUCUGUAGACUCUACCUCUGGGGGCAGGGCACAGCCGAACAAAAGGCAGCAGAAACAAACAGAAAGGACAUCCACACCAAAACCCCAUCUGUACGUCACCAUCGUCAAAGACCAAAGGUAGAUAAAACCACAAAAAUGGGGAAAAAACAGAGCAGAAAAGCCGAAAAUUCUAAAAAUCAGAGCGCCUGUUUCCCUCCAAACAAUGCAGCUCCUCGCCAGCAAGGGAACAAAGCUGGACGGAGAAUGACUUUGAC